UGGAUAGCUCAGUUGGUUAGAGAGUGGUGCUGAAAACACCAUGGUUGCAAGUUUGAUCCCUGUAUAGAACAG